UACGAAGGGGGCUAGCGUUGCUCGGAUUGACUGGGCGUAAAGCGCACGUAGGCGGACUCUUAAGUCGGUGGUGAAAUCCUGGAGCUCAACUCCAGAACUGCCUUCGAUACUGGGAGUCUUGAGUCCGAGAGAGGUGAGUGGAACUGCGAGUGUAGAGGUGAAAUUCGUAGAUAUUCGCAAGAACACCAGUGGCGAAGGCGGCUCACUGGCUCGGUACUGACGCUGAGGUGCGAAAGCGUGGGGAGCAAACAGG
rnacentral:rRNA from 1 species